rnacentral:rRNA from 1 species
UACGGGGGGGGCAAGCGUUGUUCGGAAUUACUGGGCGUAAAGGGCGCGUAGGCGGUUGGAUAAGUCAGCUGUGAAAACCACGGGCUUAACUCGUGGCCUGCAGUUGAGACUGUCUGGCUUGAGUGUGGGAGAGGAGAGUGGAAUUCCUGGUGUAGCGGUGAAAUGCGUAGAUAUCAAGCAGAACACCUGCGGCGAAGGCGGCCUUCUGGACGAUGACUGACGCUGAGACGCGAAAGCGUGGGGAGCAAACAGG